GAGUGAACGCUGGCGGCAGGCCUAACACAUGCAAGUCGAGCGGCAGCGGGUCCUUCGGGAUGCCGGCGAGCGGCGGACGGGUGAGGAAUGCAUCGGAAUCUGCCUCUAUGUGGGGGAUAACGUAGGGAAACUUACGCUAAUACCGCAUACGACCUACGGGUGAAAGCCGGGGACCUUCGGGCCUGGCGCAGAGAGAUGAGCCGAUGCCGGAUUAGCUAGUUGGCGGGGUAAAGGCCCACCAAGGCGACGAUCCGUAGCUGGUCUGAGAGGAUGAUCAGCCACACUGGAACUGAGACACGGUCCAGACUCCUACGGGAGGCAGCAGUGGGGAAUAUUGGACAAUGGGCGCAAGCCUGAUCCAGCCAUGCCGCGUGAGUGAAGAAGGCCUUCGGGUUGUAAAGCUCUUUUGUUGGGGAAGAAAAGCUUCCGGUUAAUACCCGGGAGUCCUGACGGUACCCAAAGAAUMAGCACCGGCUAACUUC
rnacentral:rRNA from 1 species